GCAGUAGGGUGCCAUCA
rnacentral:rRNA from 1 species